rnacentral:tRNA from 1 species
UCCCAGGUGGCUCAGAGGUAAAGAAUCUGCCUGCCAAGCAGGAGACUUGGGUUCAAUCCCUGGGUAGGGAA